UGGUACGCUGCCACUUUAAGAUCAAUUUCAGCUGCUGCAUAUAAGCAGGUCUCUAACUGCCACAAGACUACUUGCGUCAUGACGUCAACUCAUUCUGCUUAGUUUGUUUGCGGAGCUGUGCUGGCCUCCCUUGCUGUGCCUCCAACUCCUGGACCAAUUUGUUCGGUUGUUUGCUGCCGGGAAGCUGCGCUCCAUAGGUGAACUUGUGGAUCUGUUUAUCUGGCCGUGUGGUAAUUUACAGCCUCCUGCCGAGUCCCUGACAACUAUUCUAUUUGGAUGUACACUCGCUGCUGUUUUGCCUACGAUGAAUUGUUUUAAAAGAUUUGUAUGAACUUUCCCCCGCUGCCGGGAGUAUUGAUGGCACUACGAACGGGAUAAAAAGCAAUAUUGUAGUGCUAUUGUAUCACUGUUUUACUCAUAUUGUUUCAUUUUUUUGUCUUUCUUUUAGGGACUGAGGCUUCUGUGGUGGCGGUGUCUUGUGUGUUUUGUUGGAACACCCCUUUUUUGUGUGUGUGUGUGUUUGCCGUGUCUUUGUAGUGUCCAGGGUGAUCCCUUUUCUUCACUGGAUGUUGCCCCUUUCCUCACUACUCUCCCCCCCACUGAUCUUUCUGAUGUCGCCCUGGGCAACCAAACAUAUGACUCAAGUCAAAAACCACAACUGGAUGGAUGGAAAGAUAAAUGGAAGAUGGGAAAACAAAUGAAUGUUUGUUUUUCAUUCCAGCCAGUUGGAAGCUACAAGCUUGUAAUUUCUAAAAUGGUCUGCAAAGUAGAAUAGAAAAUAGAGAAUAAAAAAGAAUGCCUGUU